ensembl:lncRNA
AAUUCCCUCAGACAGCUAAAAAUCAAUGAGCCAGGAACUCCACAGCCCAUUGGCAAGUGCCCAUCAUUAUUCAGAACUUCAGAACAAGCAGAGUGAUUAAUCCAUUUAAAUGUACUGCAUAGGAAAUAUCGGAGGUGGCAGAUGCUUUCCUCAAUUGUGAUUUACAUUGAGAAGAAAAUUAAAACUCUCACCGUAACAAUAGCUGACUGCUUCAGUAAAUCCAGUGUCAUCUCUGCCUUUUUUUCUUGUGGAGAAUGUGACUGUAAAUGCUUCCAGCUUUCAUGACAUGAAGAGAUACUGUUGGAAACAAGAUACCAAAUAACAGACAAGUAUAGGAGACAAGUCAUGUUGUGGCUGUUGAAUGGCUCUUAUGCACAACUGAUGAAAGUAUCUGUAGGUGACGGUUUUGUGUCUCUCUAUAUAGAUACAUACUGAAUGAUAUUUUAGUUAUAGUAAACAUGUUCUGCUCCCCACCAUAUUAACUGCUUACAGAGGAAAAAUAUGGGAAAGCAAUUUAAUACACAUUACCUGGUAAUAUAGGAAAGACUGAACACUGAUUUUGAGAGAGGGCUUUUCAGAUAUCUUGGAAUCACCGUUAAAUUUCUUCAUUUUUUUAAUGCCAGUGACCAAGUGGCCAAAGAAAUGCUUCCACAACUGCUGUGUGCUGCUGGCUUUUUCUCCACUGAAAAUAGAAGGAACAGAAAGAUAAGAGUAAAACAAAAUGGACAAACAAAACAGACAAUCAACUGUUGGCAUCAGAGAUAGAUCUGAUGAACCUGGUGUGUUUUCUGACAAAAGAUUGGUUGACGAGCUGAAGAAUAACAAAACCUAUACACCUGAGUGGCAUUUUUCAGCUCUGCAAUUUGUUUGUUCUUUUAUUUGCAGUUUUACAAUGUCUGUGAAAAUUAUGGUAACUAGUUCUGAAGACCUGAAUUUCAUGCUUUAUGCUUUCAUGCAUGGAAUUAUCUAUGUUAACAUUGGGUAAAAGGGAAAAUAGAGAAAAAAACAUCACGUGAUUGAUCUGACCAUAAUAUUCUGUUCUGAUUAUCGUAACACAUAUAAGGUAUUUACAGAAGCUCCUUUUAUUAAUUUAGCAGAAAGUAUGAUAUACCUGCUGCUUCUUGUAUUUCAUGUGCAGUGACUGCCAUUCCUUACAAAAGUUGAAGAUCAAAUGGAAAUCUUAACAAAAGUUUGUUCUCAAAAGCCAAAAAUCAGACCUCUGUUAGAAAUUUUCUGAACUACUUGGAAGAAUAAAUAAGUUGGCAUAGAAAACAAAACAUAAUCAAAUAGGAACAAAAGUUUACUUUGAAAAACCUUAAUAAAUUCUUGUAAAUAUUUUGCAGAACUCAGAAAACUGCAAGUGUGGAAGGUGUAUUUCUCUCUCUCUUUUUAUUUAAGGAAUAAAAGUUAGAUUGGCACUUUAAAAAAAUCCAUUAAUUACCACUAUUUAUAUUUUAUAAAUGGAAAAAUAAACACAUAAUGAGAAGAUGAUCAAAUAGCAGAAGUGGAAGCAGCAUCCUUCAUGGGGGAAGACAGUGGCCAUGGAGGAGCAGCAGAGACAAAACAUUAAGGACUGACCACAGCCCCAUCCCCUGUCCCUCCUGCUCAUCUUGGGGGGAGGAGGUUGACGUUUCAGGCAUAAAG